CAGGUCUUCGGAUGCUGACGAGUGGCGAACGGGUGAGUAAUGCAUCGGAACGUGCCCCAGUCGUGGGGGAUAACGCAGCGAAAGCUGUGCUAAUACCGCAUACGAUCUAUGGAUGAAAGCGGGGGAUCGCAAGACCUCGCGCGAUUGGAGCGGCCGAUGUCAGAUUAGCUAGUUGGUGGGGUAAAGGCUCACCUAGACGACGAUCCGUAGCUGGUCUGAGAGGACGACCAGCCACACUGGAACUGAGACACGGUCCAGACUCCUACGGGAGGCAGCAGUGGGGAAUUUUGGACAAUGGGCGAAAGCCUGAUCCAGCCAUACCGCGUGAGUGAAGAAGGCCUUCGGGUUGUAAAGCUCUUUCAGCCGGAAAGAAAUUGCUUCUAUUAAUACUAGGAGUAGAUGACGGUAUCGGAAGAAGAAGCACCGGCUAACUACGUGCCAGCAGCCGCGGUAAUA
rnacentral:rRNA from 1 species